AUUGAACGCUGGCGGCAGGCCUAACACAUGCAAGUCGAACGAGUGGCGGACGGGUGAGUAAUGUCUGGGAAACUGCCCGAUGGAGGGGGAUAACUACUGGAAACGGUAGCUAAUACCGCAUACCAUCGGAUGUACCCAGAUGGGAAUAGCUAGUAGGUGGGGUAACGGCUCACCUAGGCGACGAUCCCUAGCUGGUCUGAGAGGAUGACCAGCGAGACUGGGAAUGAGACACGGCCCAGACGCCAACGGGAGGCAGCAGUGGGGAAGAUUGCACAAUGGGCGCAAGCCUGAUGCAGCCAGGCCGCGUGUAGGAAGAAGGCCUUCGGGUUGUAAAGUACUUCCAGCGAGGAGGCGUUACUCGCAGAAGAAGCACCGGCUAACGCCGUGCCAGCAGCCGCGGUAAUUC
rnacentral:rRNA from 1 species